ensembl:snRNA U6 U6 spliceosomal RNA
AUGCUCACUUUGGUAGCACGUAUACUAAAAUUGGAACAGUACCGAGAAGAUUAGCAUGGCCCCUGCGCAAGGAUGACACACGAAUUCGUGUAGCGUUCCAUAUUUGU